rnacentral:rRNA from 1 species
UAGGGAAUCUUCCACAAUGGGCGCAAGCCUGAUGGAGCAACGCCGCGUGAGUGAAGAAGGGUUUCGGCUCGUAAAGCUCUGUUGUAAGAGAAGAACGUGUGUGAGAGUGGAAAGUUCACACAGUGACGGUAACUUACCAGAAAGGGACGGCUAACUACGUACCAG